rnacentral:snRNA from 1 species
AUUCUAAGACGUUCAUACGAUGU